GGACUACUCGGGUAUCUAAUCCCGUUUGCUCCCCUGGCUUUCGCACCUGAGCGUCAACAACUUCCCAGAAGGCUGCCUUCGCCAUUGGUGUUCCUCCGGAUAUCUACGCAUUUCACCACUACACCCGGAAUUCCGCCUUCCUCUGAAGUGCUCAAGUCCCCCAGUUUUCGAAGACCUUGGUCAGUUGAGCCGACCACUGUCACUCCGAACUUGGAGGACCGCCUGCGUGCGCUUUACGCCCAGUAACUCCGGAGAACGCUUGCCCCCUACGUAUUACCGCGGCUGCUGGCAC
rnacentral:rRNA from 1 species